UGGGGAAUAUUGGACAAUGGGCGAAAGCCUGAUCCAGCCAUGCCGCGUGUGUGAAGAAGGUCUUCGGAUUGUAAAGCACUUUAAGUUGGGAGGAAGGGCAUUAACCUAAUACGUUAGUGUUUUGACGUUACCGAAAGAAUAAGCACCGGCUAACUCUGUGCCAGCAGCCGCGGUAAUACAGAGGGUGAAAGCGUUAAUCGGAAUUACUGGGCGUAAAGCGCGCGUAGGUGGUUUGUUAAGUUGGAUGUGAAAUCCCCGGGCUCAACCUGGGAACUGCAUUCAAAACUGACUGACUAGAGUAUGGUAGAGGGUGGUGGAAUUUCCUGUGUAGCGGUGAAAUGCGUAGAUAUAGGAAGGAACACCAGUGGCGAAGGCGACCACCUGGACUAAUACUGACACUGAGGUGCGAAAGCGUGGGGAGCAAACA
rnacentral:rRNA from 1 species